UUCUUUGUAGAAGAAGAUUUAUGGAUAGUUUUUCAAAAAUGUGACGUAAUAUUUUAGAAUAGAAAGAGAUUUGAUAUUGUCAAAAGAAGAAUUUGAUUUAUUGAAUAUUGAAUUAUAUAUUGGUGAAUUGAAAGAGAGUAAUUGGAAAUAAUUGUGAAGAAUGGAUAUAAAUGAAAGGAUUAUAAUACAUUGAGUAUUGGAAAUUGACAAUAAUUCAUCAAAAGGAGUCUAUAGAAUCUGAAAUUCUGUGAAGAAGUAUAUUGAAAAGGACUAUUAGUGGUGAAGGAUUCCAGUGUUUGG
rnacentral:lncRNA from 1 species